UCGGUUCUAGCCGUUCACUCGGAUUUUAAACACCGCAGUAUAGCCGCUGAUUCAGCCUUAGACAUGUCACUAUCUGGGAACGUGAGCUAAAAAACAAUCCAUUUGGAAAUGCAUUUAAAAUGACAAUCAACUUGAUGAAAAUCCAUGUACUUACUUACAAAAAAAUUCAAAAGUAAAAUGAACAAACAAUUAAUAAAAUAUGAAAUGCCUAAGUGGACACAGUUAUUUUUUAGUACUAAAAAGAUAUAAUAUGAUCUUAACCCAUAAUGGAAGCAUAACACCUGAGGAAAAGUCAACACACUAGAGUGACUUAAUCAACGCUAUCCGAUAAGUCUGUAUUCUAAUAAGUUUAACGGCUUCUAUAUAUUAUAAACUUUGCUUUACGAGAAACAAUGAUGGUUAAAUGGUUGAAAAUACUUUCAAGAAAAUGAAAUAUAUUAUGCUUCUCGUAC